GACGAACGCUGGCGGCGUGCUUAACACAUGCAAGUCGAACGGAAAGGCCCUGCUUUUGUGGGGUGCUCGAGUGGCGAACGGGUGAGUAACACGUGAGUAACCUGCCCUUGACUUUGGGAUAACUUCAGGAAACUGGGGCUAAUACCGGAUAGGAGCUCCUGCUGCAUGGUGGGGGUUGGAAAGUUUCGGCCGUUGGGGAUGGACUCGCGGCUUAUCAGCUUGUUGGUGGGGUAGUGGCUUACCAAGGCUUUGACGGGUAGCCGGCCUGAGAGGGUGACCGGCGACAUUGGGACUGAGAUACGGCCCAGAAUCCAACGGGAGGCAGCAGUGGGGAAUAUUGCACAAUGGGCGGAAGUGUGAUGCAGCAACGCCGGGUGCGGGAUGACGGCCUUCGGGUUGUAAACAGAUUUCGAAUGUGACGAAGCGUGAGUGACGGUAAUGGGUAAAGAAGCAACGGCUAACUACGUG
rnacentral:rRNA from 1 species